AAUCAUGUCUCACACGUAAUGAUUUAUGAUAUAUAUUGUAAUGUUUUGGUAAAACAGGUGAAUUUUAAUUUCUUCUUAUGAGUUACAUAAUGUAUCUGUAAAAGUACGUUUAUUAUAGAUGUAGGGGCCCUGUCCCACUGGCAUUUAGGAGGA